UGGGGAAUAUUGCACAAUGGGCGCAAGCCUGAUGCAGCCAUGCCGCGUGUGUGAAGAAGGCCUUCGGGUUGUAAAGUACUUUCAGUCGGGAGGAAGGUGGUAAGGUUAAUAACCUUAUCAAUUGACGUUACCGACAGAAGAAGCACCGGCUAACUCCGUGCCAGCAGCCGCGGUAAUACGGAGGGUGCAAGCGUUAAUCGGAAUUACUGGGCGUAAAGCGCACGCAGGCGGUUGAUUGAGUCAGAUGUGAAAUCCCCGGGCUUAACCCGGGAAUUGCAUCUGUUCCUGGUCAGCUAGAGUCUUGUAGAGGGGGGUAGAAUUCCAUGUGUAGCGGUGAAAUGCGUAGAGAUGUGGAGGAAUACCGGUGGCGAAGGCGGCCCCCUGGACAAAGACUGACGCUCAGGUGCGAAAGCGUGGGGAGCAAACAGG
rnacentral:rRNA from 1 species